UACGUAGGGGGCGAGCGUUGUCCGGAAUCAUUGGGCGUAAAGAGCGUGUAGGCGGCCAGAUAAGUCCGCUGUGAAAUCUCGAGGCUCAACUUCGAGCUGUCGGCGGAAACCAUCUGGCUAGAGUCCGGAAGAGGAGAAUGGAAUUCCCGGUGUAGCGGUGAAAUGCGCAGAUAUCGGGAAGAACACCCGUGGCGAAGGCGGUUCUCUGGGACGGUACUGACGCUGAGACGCGAAAGCGUGGGGAGCGAACAGG
rnacentral:rRNA from 1 species